GAUGAACGCUAGCGGCAGGCCUAAUACAUGCAAGUCAAGGGGCCAGUAAUGGCACCGGCGGACGGGUGCGUAACGCGUACACAACGUACCUUUGGGUGGGGGAUAGCAUCGGGAAACUGGUGGUAAUACCCCAUGGUAUUGGAGACUGGCAUCAGUUUUCAGUUAAAGACUACGCCCAAAGAUCGGUGUGCGUCUGAUUAGCUAGUUGGUAGGGUAACGGCCUACCAAGGCGACGAUCAGUAGGGGAUGUGAGAGCAUGAUCCCCCACACGGGUACUGAGACACGGACCCGACUCCUACGGGAGGCAGCAGUAAGGAAUAUUGGACAAUGGUCGGAAGACUGAUCCAGCCAUGCCGCGUGAAGGAUGAAGGCGCUCAGCGUUGUAAACUUCUUUUGUACGGGAACAAAAUGCGACCUGCGGGUUGUACUGAGGGUACCGUAAGAAUAAGCACCGGCUAACUCCGUG
rnacentral:rRNA from 1 species